rnacentral:rRNA from 1 species
GAUGAACGCUGGCGGCGCGCCUAACACAUGCAAGUCGAACGGUUAAAGCACCUUCGGGUGUGUAUAAAGUGGCGAACGGCUGAGUAACACGUGGGCAACCUGCCCCUCGCUCCGGGACAGCCUCGGGAAACCGGGAUUAAUACCGGAUACUCCGCGACCACCGCAUGGCGGUCGCGGGAAAGCUCCGACGGCGAGGGAUGGGCCCGCGGCCUGUUAGCUUGUUGGUGGGGUAACGGCCCACCAAGGCGAUUAUGGGUAGCUGGGUUGAGAGACCGACCAGCCAGAUUGGGACUGAGACACGGCCCAGACUCC